UUCACGACCAUAAAUAAAUGGUAACUAUAAAAGAUUUUAGCAAAAUAUAUAUUUGUUAUUUCUUAUUGCAAGUGUAAGAACUCAGUCUUCCAUGCAUGGUGUCAUUGUAAUAUUCUGAGUAUGAGACUCAUACUAUCCGUAGGACACAAAAGACAGAUUACAUUUGCCAUUAAUGCACCUAUACCUUUGAACUAGCGUAUUUGGUGGGCAAUCAUUAUCAGUUAUACAAAAAAUAUCAUCUGUAGUGAAAGAAUAUAAUAAACUAAUGUUAUAAAAAUGAAUAAUAAUUAUAUAUGAACUACAAACUAAAGAAGGUAAUUUGAAAAGGAUGAAAAAAAAAAAAAAAAAAAAAACAUUACCCUCAAUAUUAUUUGCGAUAAGAAAUAGGAAAAUAAAUAAAGUUAUAGCAUACACAAG
rnacentral:lncRNA from 1 species